UACAGAGGUCCCAAGCGUUGUUCGGAUUUACUGGGCGUAAAGCGCACGUAGGCGGAUCGUUAAGUCGGGGGUGAAAUCCUGGAGCUCAACUCCAGAACUGCCUUCGAUACUGGCGAUCUUGAGUCCGGAAGAGGUGAGUGGAACUCCUAGUGUAGAGGUGGAAUUCGUAGAUAUUAGGAAGAGCACCAGUGGCGAAGGCGGCUCACUGGUCCGGUACUGACGCUGAGGUGCGAAAGCGUGGGGAGCAAACAGG
rnacentral:rRNA from 1 species